GCAUAUGGGUCGAUGCAUAAAAGUUUAAGUGCCGAUAACACUCCUAUCGGCUGGAUUGUAAUGUAUUUGGGACUAAAAACGAUGUUUCGAAAGGAUGCUGAUAACAGUCCUAUCGGCUGGACAAAAAUAAUCAGCAGCUUUUGAAGAAGGAGCAAAACGCGCUGCCGAUGAAAAACUCAUACAUUUAGCAGAGCUUGGAUCGCUGAUAUAGCACGC
rnacentral:lncRNA from 1 species